rnacentral:rRNA from 1 species
UACGUAGGGGGCAAGCGUUGUCCGGAAUCAUUGGGCGUAAAGCGCGUGUAGGCGGCCCGAUAAGUCCGCUGUGAAAGUCCAGGGCUCAACCCUGGGAUGCCGGUGGAUACUGUCGGGCUCGAGUCCGGAAGAGGCGAGUGGAAUUCCUGGUGUAGCGGUGAAAUGCGUAGAGAUCCGGAGGAACACCGACGGCGCAGGCAGCGUCCUGGCCGCUUGCUGACACUGAGGCACGAAAGCUGGGGGAGCAAACAGG